rnacentral:lncRNA from 1 species
UGCUAACCAAUGUUUCAAAAGGGUAAACAAAUAAAGAAAAUAAAUAAAAACGGAUCCCAAAAACUGUAAAGGUAAUUUAAGGUUUGAGACAGGUGCUAGGAAGCGUAUAUACAGUCAGGUGAAUAUAACCCUUCCACACCAACAACCAAGGUAUGGUUCAUGUAGUAAAUUGUAAAGGAAAUAAAAAAGAUCCUUUAACCUCCAAUAAGCAAACUAGCAGAAAACCUCACCAAAUUAAAAACUAAUAUCUGCCUGCCUCGUUUCAGGCUUCAAGGCCCUUAAACAAAAGGACAAUCUAUUUGGGUCCGAUAUCCUUCAGGGCGCAG